rnacentral:rRNA from 1 species
ACACCGGCAGCUCUAGUGGUAGCUGUUUUUAUUGGGCCUAAAGCGUUCGUAGCCGGUUUGGUAAGUCACUGGUGCAAUCCUGUAGCUUAACUAUGGGCAUUGCUGGAGAUACUGUUGAACUUGAGGUCGGGUGAGGUUAGCGGUACUCCCAGGGUAGAGGUGAAAUUCUGUAAUCCUGGGAGGACCACCUGUGGCGAAGGGGGCUAACUGGAACGAACCUGACGGUGAGGGACGAAAGCUAGGGGCGCGAACCGGAUUAGAUACCCGGGUAGUCCUAGCCGUAAACGAUGCGGACUUGGUGUUGGGAUGGCUUUGAGCCGCUCCGGUGCCGAAGGGAAGCUGUUAAGUCCGCCGCCUGGGAAGUACGGUCGCAAGACUGAAACUUAAAGGAAUUGGCGGGG